rnacentral:tRNA from 1 species
GACUUGGUACUUUAAAUAAAAGUUCUGACUUGCAUUCAGAUAAUAAAUUAUUAGUUAAUUUUCAGGUCA